AUUCCACUGAGCACGCUCUCUGCCUCGGGCUGUACGGGACGGAAUAUUGCCAUACGUUACUGUCGUUCCGGCAGGCGAGGCCGGGGUGCGGCGCCGGGCGAGCGAAGAACCACCUCACGCCGGCAGAAGGACGUCUAGAGCCUUACUACACACACGACCAUCAACGGAAUUCAUCAUGUCUCUGGAAGAGACGAUUCUUUCUAGAUUUGAGUAGAAUCGAAGGACGCAAACAGACGUGCUUUUUGCUUCUGCUUGAAGUAUAGGAGUGGGAGUGAAUAAAUGUAAAUGAACUCGUGAUUGUGUGAAUUGAAGUAAUGUCUUGAGUAGGUACUUUAACACUUGAUGUAACCACAGUGGAAUACAAACUUUCCAGAUUCUUUGAUGGUUUCCUGUUUUUGCCUUUUAUAGAAUACUCCGAAACGUGGAUUUCCCGCAGUUGUUUUAUGAAGAUAGUUGCAAAAUAAAUUUAGACGUGCAUUAACUUUUUUUCCCAUUCAGUAGUAUACGCAUAUGAAGCCAGUGCCAAUGAGUCAUGACAAGCCACAAAUAGAUUUAUUAUUACGCCUGUAUAUAUUUCUCAAUGAUGUUGGUUUCGAGAACAAACUUUUCUCAGAUAUAAGCAUUCCUUAGUACGAAAGUAGACAUGGAGAACCACAUUAGAGCUGAAAUAUUGUGGUAAUACAACUUGGAUACAUUCCAAUGACAUAAGCAGCCAGUUGGCACAAAAUGACAUGCACUAAGUAAUGAAUGGUAAGUGGAAUAGAGGAAAUGGAAUCCUACAUAAAAGGAAUUCUAUAGUAGAA